AAGGCGCUAGUAAAAACGAACAUUACUCUGUCUUGUCAAGACAAAAUUGUAGGUUUAAGCCCUACGCACCUUA
rnacentral:tRNA from 1 species